rnacentral:rRNA from 1 species
CCCUUAGAUGUCCUGGGCCGCACGCGCGCUACACUGAACGGAUCAGCGCGUUUUCCCUUCCCGAGAGGGACGGGUAACCUGCUGAACCCCGUUCGUGGUAGGGAUCGGGGCUUGCAAUUAUUCCCCGUGAACCAGGAAUGCCCAGUAAGUGCAAGUCAUAAGCUUGCGUUGAUUACGUCCCUGCCCUUUGUACACACCGCCCGUCGCUACUACCGAUUGAACGUUUUAGUGAGGUACUCGGACUGAGCCUCAGAAGAUUCACGUCUUUUGUGCUGCUCGGGAAGAUUCCCAAACUUGAGCGUUUAGAGGAAGGAGAAGUCGUAACA